UUUUUUUUGUAGUUCUGUAUUACUUGUACCCUUAUACCGCUUUGUUUUGUUUUGUGUUUUGUUGGGAGCCGCCGACACCGGUCGCCUUACUUGGCGGACGUAGGGCCUGUGGGUGGGGGCGGAGCCUGAGCUAGAUUGCCCCCCCCAUUGAGUGAGUCAAGUUGGCGCCUGCUUCCUGCCCCCUGAUUGUGCUGGCGACUUAAACAACCUGCUCUGUAAGAUAGUCUGCCUAGCAACAACUGAUGUUAGCCAAUCAGCCCGCAUCGCGCGCUUUGAACUGAUUGGCCACUGUCACCCUAUAAAAGUGAAUGCCUCUCCCGCCACGAGACAGGAAGCACAGAGAAAGCACAGAGAGAGAUAGAAAAAGUCCACCGGCGAGAAAGGGCUGGUGGCAGAGAGGAGGCCUCGCGGGGCCCACGUGGAGACAAAUAAAGGCAAGGUUGCACACUGUCAGAAUCUGUCGCGUGUUCUUCCUGCAGGCCAGGAGCGACAUCGACAUUUGGUGACCCGCACGGGGACUGAUCAACCCCGAGACACGGCGGUGGUGUGCAACGCUCCAGCGUGGUGCUGCCGGACAGGAAUCGGGACGAGAACCACUGUGGGUCCCAGAGAGGUUGCGACAAGUCCCUCGACUGAAGAUCAGGCCUGUUCCACCAGGGGCCAACCGCAGACCCAACAACAAGAUGAGCCCUAAAAGAACUGCAGGACAAUCCCUUUUUGGGGAGCCUGGAAUGGCUUGCUCCCCUAUGUUUUACCAUUGUUAGGUCCCCUGUGCUCCUUGCUUCUGUUCUUACUUGUAGGACCAUUCUUGCUCCGAUGGGUUACAUCAUUUAUUAAUGGGCGCCUUGCGGCGGCCUGGCGUCAAGUACGCCUGGUUGCCCAUGCGGCCCUGGCAGCAGCCCGUGAUGGGCACAAUGACCCCCAGGCUUACGCAUGGCUCGCUCGACUGGCCUACGACUGGGUCUAGGUGUGGCGGGUCUUCCGCAUUCCUUCCCUAAUGACACCACACAGCAGGGUAGGUGAGUCAAUGACGGGUAAGAGCGUGCCUCCCCAGCAUGACUCGACCUAAGCCAGGCCCUACCCCAUGGCGCACGAAAGCCGCUGGAUUACUAGAAUCUGCCCAGAUCUAGAUGCCUCUCCGAGGGGAUCACACGGAGGGGCAUGAGUGCAUGCCUAUGUGCAUCCAGGUUCCGUCCAGUUCACUCCUGGCCCUGGAAAAAGGACGAGGGUCUCAAGGCCUUGGCAGACCCGGGGGCGGCCGACCAGGGUCCAAGCCAAGGGCCUACGGUGGGCCUCAACACAGGGCAUAAGCCUCUGCACUCGAUCCAGGGCAGGCUGCGAUGCAUACAUUCAUUCAAAGUAAAUAAAAUAGGGGGAGAUGUUGGGAGCCGCCGACACCGGUCGCCUUACUUGGCGGACGUAGGGCCUGUGGGUGGGGGCAGAGCCUGAGCUAGAUUGCCCCUCCCAUUGAGUGAGUCAAGUUGGCGCCUGCUUCCUGCCCCCUGAUUGUGCUGGCGACUUAAACAACCCGCUCUGUAAGAUAGUCUGCCUAGCAACAACUGAUGUUAGCCAAUCAGCCCGCAUCGCGCGCUUUGAACUGAUUGGCCACUGUCACCCUAUAAAAGUGAAUGCCUCUCCCGCCACGAGACAGGAAGCACAGAGAAAGCACAGAGAGAGAUAGAAAAAGUCCACCGGCGAGAAAGGGCUGGUGGCAGAGAGGAGGCCUCGCAGGGCCCACGUGGAGACAAAUAAAGGCAAGGUUGCACACUGUCAGAAUCUGUCGCGUGUUCUUCCUGCAGGCCAGGAGUGACAUCGACAGUGUUUUUCUCUUUGCCCUUUUAAAUAAAAUUUUUAAAAAAAGA